UACGUAGGGGGCAAGCGUUGUCCGGAAUCAUUGGGCGUAAAGAGCGUGUAGGCGGUCCGGUAAGUCGGGUGUGAAACCUCCAGGCUCAACCUGGAGACGCCACCCGAUACUGUCGUGACUAGAGUCCAGUAGGGGAGCGUGGAAUUCCUGGUGUAGCGGUGAAAUGCGCAGAUAUCAGGAGGAACACCAGCGGCGAAGGCGGCGCUCUGGGCUGGAACUGACGCUGAGGAGCGAAAGCGUGGGGAGCGAACAGG
rnacentral:rRNA from 1 species